GAUGAACGCUGACAGAAUGCUUAACACAUGCAAGUCUACUUGAAGCUAACUUCGGUUAGUGGAGGGUGGCGGACGGGUGAGUAACGCGUAAAGAACUUGCCUCACAGAUUGGGACAACAUCUGGAAACGGAUGCUAAUACCGGAUAUUAUGAUUCUUCUGCAUGGAAGGAACAUGAAAGCUAUAUGCGCUGUGAGAGAGCUUUGCGUCCCAUUAGCUAGUUGGAGAGGUAACGGCUCACCAAGGCGAUGAUGGGUAGCCGGCCUGAGAGGGUGAACGGCCACAAGGGGACUGAGACACGGCCCUUACUCCUACGGGAGGCAGCAGUGGGGAAUAUUGGACAAUGGACCAAAAGUCUGAUCCAGCAAUUCUGUGUGCACGAUGAAGUUUUUCGGAAUGUAAAGUGCUUUCAGUUGGGAAGAAGCAAGUGACGGUACCAACAGAAGAAGCGACGGCUAAAUACGUGCCAGCAGCCGCGGUAAUACGUAUGUCGCAAGCGUUAUCCGGAUUUAUUGGGCGUAAAGCGCGUCUAGGCGGCUAGAUAAGUCUGAUGUGAAAAUGCGGGGCUCAACUCCGUAUUGCGUUGGAAACUGUAUAGCUAGAGUACUGGAGAGGUAAGCGGAACUACAAGUGUAGAGGUGAAAUUCGUAGAUAUUUGUAGGAAUGCCGAUGGGGAAGCCAGCUUACUGGACAGAUACUGACGCUAAAGCGCGAAAGCAUGGGUAGCAAACAGG
rnacentral:rRNA from 1 species